GAGAGUGGGUAGUCCGCACGAGCGCACCUCACUUUUAGUUGCCAUCAUUAAGUUGGGCACUCUGAAAGAACUGCCAGUGAUAAGCUGGAGGAAGGUGGGGAUGACGUCAAGUCCUCAUGGCCCUUACGUGUUGGGCUACACACGUGCUACAAUGGCAUCUACAACAGGAAGCAAAACGGCAACGUUAAGCUAAUCCCGAAAAGAUGCCUCAGUUCGGAUUGCACUCUGCAACUCGAGUGCAUGAAGCUGGAAUUACUAGUAAUCGUGGAUCAGCGUGCCACGGUGAAUGCGUUCCCGGGUCUUGUACACACCGCCCGUCACACCAUGGGAGUUGGUUCUACCUUAAGGCAAGGUUUCAAACCCUUGACCACGGUAUAGUCAGCGACUGGGGUGAAGUCGUAACAAGGUAGCCGUAGGGGAACCUGCGGCUGGAUUACCUCCUUUCU
rnacentral:rRNA from 1 species